rnacentral:misc_RNA from 1 species
GUAGGUGAACCUGCGGAAGGAUCAUUGUCGAAGCCUGCACAGCAGAACGACCCGUGGACACGUAAUCACAGCCGGGCGUCGAGGGGGUCGGGCGUCAGCCCGGUGCUCGCGAUGCCUAGUUGACGUGCGUCCGUGAUGCCCCGUUUCGGAGCGUCGUGGAUGUUGCGUCGGCACCUAAACAAACCCCGGCACGGCAUGUGCCAAG